CGCAUGUUUGGCACCCUGUAGACCUGGGUUCGAGUCCGGGUGGCUUAACCAUGCUCUCCCUUCGCUAUAACUCCAAAGCCUCUAGGCUCCAGGCUGCUCCUGAAAUACAUCCUCAAACAGACAGUACAGUGACUGCUUUUCUGAUGCUAUUCUGUUGUUGAAAAACACAAAUCAGCCUCACUUAAGAGGAUUCUGCCUCUAAAUUGUAAUGAUGGCCACAUUUAGCCAGACCUCAAUUACAUAAAACCCAUAACAGUGAUUAGCUGCUGGGGGAACUCCGUUUUAAUUAGGCUCAAACAACCUGCACAAUUAUCUUAGCUUUUGAUGUGGAGUUUUGGCAAUCAAUUAGUCUGCUUCCAAACAUAGACAUAUAUAUGUCUAUGCUUCCAAACGCUCACAUUUAGGAGAUUCCAUUUGCUAUGUAUGGAGAGAGGGAGGAGUUCCAAUGUCUUUGUGCUGUGAACCUCUGUCAUGGACAGAAAGUUCCGGCUAGCGAGAAGUUCCGGAUGACGCAACAGACGUUCCGAUCAGCUGUUUAUCAAAUAAUCUUGGCGUCGUUGCUAUGAUGGUUGCUAUGAGCUCGCGGUUGAUAGGAGUCGCGAGAAGCUGUCAUUUACCUCAGGAACACCUCAGGAACACACAAGCGGACAGCGACAGAGACAGAGACAGCGACAGCAUUCAAUUUCAAUUACAUUUCUUUAUUAAAUUCUAAUCUUCAUUAUCCUAUUUGCCUACUUUGUGAAAAUGGUAUCGUUUGAUAAUAUUUUAUUUUAUCUUGUAGGUAGCAAGGACAAGUACAAGCCAGGGACGGAAGAGUCCGCCAAAAGAUCUAUUAGAAAAGCUGCAAAAGCCUACUGUGUCCAAGGUGAUGGGUUGUACCACCAAGGCGAUGAGUCCUGUCUGAGGAGAGUGGUGAUGACGGAAGAGGAGAAGGAGUUAUUUACGAAGAUGAAUGUUGCUUCGUUGAUGGUGACCACUAAGUGGCACCUGUAUCAUGUAUAAAUUCUCGUUUGUAAUAAACCAGACUAGCUGAAGUGAUAGAACGAGCUACAAGUGUUUCCUUGUUGCUCUCUGUGUGUGUGUGCCUGUGAAUGGUUACAUAUAGGUAAAACAUAGAGGCAACAUAACAGUUUAGUCUGUUUCCCAAAACUGAAAGACUGUAGCCACAGUGUGUGUGUUUUUAUGUGUCUGUGUCAUCGAAGGUAAAACCACCAAAACUAUAUUUCCUAAAAACAUACACCCUUGAGAUGUCAUUUAACAUGAGUUAAGAUAAGUCAAGCCCUCCAAGCCCUAAUAGUAGAGGCCUAUAUAUAUCAGUCAUACACUUGAUUUACCUAUAGUAUUGGACAACAAAGUGAAAGGAGGGUGGGACUUCUCUCAACACAUCUUUAAAGGUUAUCCCCUCAAGAUGUUUUAAUAGAUUCUAGAGGGUGUGUGCAGUUUUCCUUUUACCUAAAUUUCCCUCGGGAUUAAUAAAGUAUCCAUCUAUCUAUCUAUCUAUCUAUGACACAUGCUCAAAUGUACUAGUUGUUCAUUUUGAAUGGGAGGGCUACUUGAGGAAUUGUAGACUGGGUAUGUGACAAAAAAAAAAUCUGCCUUAAUUUUUUUAAGACUCCCAUCCUCGAAGAGGCACACGCAGGCCACUUUGGACGAGUGCGCAUGGAGGCCAAGAUCCGGCAGCGCUUUUAUUGGCAGAACAUCAGGGAGGAUGUGGACAACUGGGUAAAAAAAGGAGGCACACACUAUUAAUUGCAGCAGGAUAAGUCACUCCAACACUUAAUGACCAAUGUCUUUCAGAUUUAGACCUGCAUGCGGUACCAACGCUUUGAGAGGGUGAAGACGGAGGCCCCGGAGCUGAGGCCCAUCAAGCCAGUUGCUCCCUGGCACAUGAUUGGUGUUGAUCUCAUCGGACCCAUGAAGGCGUCAAGAAAGGGGAAAAACACCUAUUACCUCACAGCGACUGACUAUUUCACCAAGUGGGUAGAGGCUAUUCCCAUCAAGAGGAAGGCAGCCGUGUUGACUGCGGAGGCUAUGAUGGACAUCUUCCUGAAACAUGGUGCCCCGGAGGUCAUCUUGACCGACAGAGGAAGGGAGUUCUGGAAUGAGGUUGUUUCAUUAUUCGUUAACAUUUUCAGCAUGGUGAAACUAACAACAUUAUGCGGUCUGUUACUCAUGAUUUCCAUUUGGUAUUAACUCUUUUCUGUUCUCUGAACAACUGCGAUAGCUUUGUGUUCACAGUCAAACUAGUCUUUAACGGGGAAGUCCGCGAUCCAAAUUAAGUUCCAGACGUCCAAAGUGAGCUUUAAAUAAACAGAAUCGGUGAUAUUAAGUUAUUUAAUCGUAUUUAUCACCGUAAUUCCCUAGUAAUGUUCGGUGUGACAUGAAGAUUCUAUAUCAUUCACGUGCAAAAGCAAAACAGCUGAUCCGAACGUCUCUGUUGCGUCAUCCGGAACUUCUGGCUAGCCGGAACUUUCUGUCCAUGACACCUCCACCUGCACUUUCGGAAGGGGUUCUAGAUUACUUUUUUUUGGUUCUAGAUGACUAGGGGUUCUAGUCCCACCUCUAGAACCAGAACGUCUCCAGAACGUCUGUUCUCUUCCAUUACUUAAGCAAAAACGCAAAAACGUUGGCCCCUGGUCAGCGCCUCUAGGCCAACAUUCAGGACGUGUGCAGGAACAGGAAAUUGAAAAUUGUUGAACAUUUGCAUUUUGUCCAAAAUAUAUACAUUGAAUAUAUAAUAAAAGACAUUUGUCAGACAUUGUACAUUACAAUACAUUACAUUUACAUUACAUUACUGCACAUUCCAGUUUAAACUGUUCGACAACAAAUCACUC